rnacentral:tRNA from 1 species
GGAAAGAUGGGGGAGAGGUUUAACCCGCCCGUUUUGAAAACGGGUGUGCCAAGGCACCGCUGGUUCAAAUCCGGCUCUUUCCG